AGAUCUGACGGUACUUGAGGAAUAAGCCACGGCUAAUUCCGUGCCAGCAGCCGCGGUAAUACGGGAGUGGCAAGCGUUAUCCGGAAUUAUUGGGCGUAAAGCGUCCGCAGGCGGCCCUUCAAGUCUGCUGUUAAAAAGUGGAGCUUAACUCCAUCGUGGCAGUGGAAACUGUUGGGCUAGAGUGUGGUAGGGGCAGAGGGAAUUCCCGGUGUAGCGGUGAAAUGCGUAGAUAUCGGGAAGAACACCAGUGGCGAAGGCGCUCUGCUGGGCCAUAACUGACGCUCAUGGACGAAAGCCAGGGGAGCGAAAGGGAUUAGAUACCCCUGUAGUCCUGGCCGUAAACGAUGAACACUAGGUGUCGGGGGAAUCGACCCCCUCGGUGUCGUAGCCAACGCGUUAAGUGUUCCGCCUGGGGAGUACGCACGCAAGUGUGAAACUCAAAGGAAUUGACGGGGGCCCGCACAAGCGGUGGAGUAUGUGGUUUAAUUCGAUGCAACGCGAAGAACCUUACCAGGGUUUGACAUCCUGCGAAUCUCCUGGAAACGGGAGAGUGCCUUCGGGAACGCAGUGACAGGUGGUGCAUGGCUGUCGUCAGCUCGUGUCGUGAGAUGUUGGGUUAAGUCCCGCAACGAGCGCAACCCACGUCUUUAGUUGCCAGCAUUCAGUUGGGCACUCUAGAGAGACCGCCGGUGAUAAACCGGAGGAAGGUGUGGAUGACGUCAAGUCAUCAUGCCCCUUACAUCCUGGGCUACACACGUACUACAAUGCUACGGACAAAGGGCAGCAAACUCGCGAGAGCUAGCAAAUCCCAUAAACCGUGGCUCAGUUCAGAUCGUAGGCUGCAACUCGCCUACGUGAAGGAGGAAUCGCUAGUAAUCGCAGGUCAGCAUACUGCGGUGAAUACGUUCCCGGGCCUUGUACACACCGCCCGUCACACCAUGGAAGUUGGCCACGCCCGAAGCCGUUACUCCAACC
rnacentral:rRNA from 1 species